rnacentral:rRNA from 1 species
AUAUCAAUAAGCGGAGGAAAAGAAACUAACAAGGAUUCCCCUAGUAACUGCGAGUGAAGCGGGAAGAGCUCAAAUUUAAAAUCUGGCGUGCCUCUGGUCGUCCGAGUUGUAGUCUAGAGAAGUGUUUUCCGUGUUGGACCGUGUAUAAGUCUCUUGGAACAGGGCGUCAUAGAGGGUGAGAAUCCCGUCUUUAAUCCGGAGUUCGGGGCGUACGAAGGGUGUUCAAAGAGUCGAAUAGCUUGGGAGUGCUGUUCUAAAUGGGUGGUAAAUUUCAUCUAAAGCUAAAUAUCGCCAGGAGACCGAUAGCGCACAAGUA